UUGCGGUUAUUUUUGAGACGGCGCUCCUCAUUGGCUACUGUGGACCUGCAAUAUUCUGUUCACUGUACGAGCGCCUAAGAUUGGCUACGUUGGAUCUGCAAUGCGUCAAGCAAUGGCGCUUAAUGUUACCUCAGUGGUUUUGGAAAAUGGUGUAACCGGACAGUCUACAUUGUAACACAGAGUAUUUUUGCAACACUGUAAAUAAUUGCUUACGACAAGACGUUUCUUUCAGUCUUUGUAGUUUCUCAAAAUGUUUCCGCCUCACCUGGCAAGGGCUCGAUUUGAGUUUUUCGGGAGGAGUGGUGGUGAUUGGCGAUUGGUCACCGCAAACAUACACGGAACAUGUAGUCGCGGAAUUUUAAAUGGCGGGUUUCGAUGAAGGAAUAUAGAAUUACAAUAUUAGAAAGCUUGUGCUGAUUCCAAGUCUAUUUUGUAAAUUAGACCAGUACUGGAUACAAAAAUCAAGAUUUAUCAAUUUACUAUGGCUAAACAAACUGUUUAAUAGUAAUGAUGAUUGAUUUUAGACAAUUAUCUCGCAGCCUGCAACAAUCAAUGGACUGGAAAACCAUUGAAUUAACGAUGAAUCCCAACAACAUUCACGCUUUAAUCAGUUUAUGGAAGUGACUGAUUGAUUCAUGCUCAACGAUGAAUAGGCUAAACUAAAUCAUAAAAUGUGCCAUCAAGAUAACAUGAUUUAGCCUAAAAUUAUAGCUACUACCCCUCCAACAAACCACAGUCGCUUCUGAGAUGACGUCAUAUUUAUCCGACUGUUUACAUGCAGAGGAGAACAACACAUGGCUCUAUUUCCAGCUUUUGUACGAUUAUCAAAUACAAAACCUGAGAAUGCACCUAAAGACAACAGAUAGGGAGGAUAAGAAUGGCUACCCAUCCAAGAAGAAUAAAAAGAAGAAGAAGAAGAAUAAAAAGAAGAAGUACAAGAAGAAGAAUGGAGAACCCUCUACAGCAAGCAGUGGCUCAUAUUCAAAUACUAUCUACUCCAGUGAUCUCCUGAAAAAGGCUGAGACUACACCUCACACAUAUGACCUCACUCCCUUUGUUCCCAUGAGGAGGUGCAGUGUCAGCUGGAGGGGUCUUUUGUGUGGCUGGACGACCUCUAGACCCCCACCGAUUGGCCCUUCUGCGUGGACAGAAGAGCAGACCUUUCCAACUUGGAGUACAAAUCGCUCUACAGAGAAGACAUCGCUAGGUACAAGAGGAAAAGCCGUUCUUCUCUGGGUUUGGACACGCGAUCUCAGGCCAUGAGCUGGUCUGAGUCUUGCCCAGAGAAGAAGAGAGGGGACAGAGACCCGACCGCUACUUCUCCCUCACCGUCCGCCAGCUGCUGGAAGGUGAGGCUGAGGGCGGGGUUCUGCCCUGGGCCAGGCCCCCUGGGUCAACUCGCUGGGGGUGUAUGACUCCUCCACCUCCCUGUGGCAGAGGAAAAACCCUCUACUCCCAGAGACAAUGCUGCCGCCCUGCUGGCUGAACAGGUGGAGGACUUUAACAGGAGGCUGAGGGAAACCUCCACAGACAAACACCUGGCUGCAGUUUGUCCACUUCCAGGUUCGGUAUUCAACGUUAAAACCCCUCAAUUACACACCACACCAAUCAGUGUCAUCACAUCACACGAGAUUUCACUAGGAUUUC
rnacentral:lncRNA from 1 species